rnacentral:rRNA from 1 species
CCAAUAGCGUAUAUUAAAGUUGUUGCAGUUAAAAAGCUCGUAGUUGAAUUUCGGGAUCAGAUUGUCGGUCGUGCCUCGGUACGAACUGGUAUUAUUGGUUCCUCCCUUCUGAAGAACCGCGAUGUCAUUAAUUUGGUGUCGUGGGGAAUCAGGACUGUUACUUUGAAAAAAUUAGAGUGUUUAAAGCAGGCUUACGCUUGAAUACAUUAGCAUGGAAUAAUGAAAUAGGACGUUUGAUUCUAUUUUGUUGGUUUCUAGGAUCGACGUAAUGAUUAAUAGGGAUAGUUGGGGGCAUUAGUAUUCAAUUGUCAGAGGUGAAAUUCUUGGAUUUAUUGAAGACUAACUACUGCGAAAGCAUUUGCCAAGGAUGUUUUCAUUAAUCAAGAACGAAAGUUAGGGGAUCGAAGACGAUCAGAUACCGUCGUAGUCUUAACCAUAAACUAUGCCGACUAGGGAUCGGAUGAUGUUGAUUUUUUAAUGACUCAUUCGGCGCCUUACGG